GCGCGUCUUCCCAGGACUCCCCCGCGCCGGAGAGGCCCGCAGGACCGCCGAGCCCACACUCCGCUCCCGCCUGGGCCCCGCUCCCCCGCGCCGCUUUGGUACGCUCCGGCCACGCCCCCUCGGACGCGCUUGGAAGGUGCUCGGGUCUUCGGGGCACUAGGUCCCAUCGGUCCCUCCUCACCUGGGCUCACCCUCGGGGGUCUGGCCGUGAGCGAGCACCGGCUCAGCAACAAGCUGCUGGCAUGGAGCGGCGUCCUUGAGUGGCAGGAGAAGCGCAGACCCUACUCUGACUCCACUGCAAAGCUGAAGCGGACCCUGCCCUGCCAAGCCUACGUGAACCAAGGCGAGAACCUGGAGACCGACCAGUGGCCGCAGAAGCUGAUCAUGCAGCUGAUCCCGCAGCAGCUGCUGACCACCCUGGGCCCCCUGUUCCGGAACUCCCAGUUGGCACAGUUCCACUUCACCAACAGAGACUGCGACUCGCUCAAGGGGCUCUGCCGCAUCAUGGGCAACGGCUUCGCGGGCUGCAUGCUGUUCCCCCACAUCUCCCCCUGUGAGGUGCGCGUGCUCAUGCUCCUGUACUCGUCCAAGAAGAAAAUCUUCAUGGGCCUCAUCCCCUACGACCAGAGUGGCUUCGUCAGUGCCAUCCGGCAGGUCAUCACCACCCGCAAGCAGGCAGUGGGACCUGGUGGUGUCAACUCAGGCCCAGUCCAGAUCGUCAACAACAAGUUUCUGGCAUGGAGUGGCGUCAUGGAGUGGCAGGAGCCCAGGCCUGAGCCCAACAGUCGGUCCAAGAGGUGGCUGCCAUCCCACGUCUACGUGAACCAGGGGGAGAUCCUGUGAGUGCUGGGCUAGGGGGUGGAGGCAGCAUCCAGGGGAGCUGGGGCUUCCUGACCCUCGUCCCCUUGUGCCCCACAGGAGGACCGAGCAGUGGCCAAGGAAGCUGUACAUGCAGCUCAUCCCACAGCAGCUGCUGACCACCCUGGUGCCGCUGUUCCGGAACUCACGCCUGGUCCAGUUCCACUUCACCAAGGACCUGGAGACACUGAAGAGCCUGUGCCGGAU
rnacentral:sRNA from 1 species